rnacentral:rRNA from 1 species
UCGCCGAAAGACCAAGGGUUCCUGCGUAAAGCUAAUCUGCGCAGGGUUAGCCGGCCCCUAAGGCGAGGCCGAAAGGCGUAGUCGAUGGGAACCACGUUAAUAUUCGUGGGCCUGGUGGUAGUGACGGAUCUCGUGUGUUGUAUCUCCUUACUGGAUUGGAGGUGCAGCGAAGAGGUUCCAGGAAAUAGCUCCACCGUAUAAACCGUACCCGAAACCGACACAGGUGGGCAGGUAGAGUAUACCAAGGCGCUUGAGAGAACUAUGUUGAAGGAACUCGGCAAAUUGCACGCGUAACUUC